rnacentral:rRNA from 1 species
UGGGGAAUUUUGGACAAUGGGCGCAAGCCUGAUCCAGCCAUGCCGCGUGCAGGAUGAAGGCCUUCGGGUUGUAAACUGCUUUUGUACGGAACGAAAAGACUCCUUCUAAUAAAGGGGGUCCAUGACGGUACCGUAAGAAUAAGCACCGGCUAACUACGUGCCAGCAGCCGCGGUAAUACGUAGGGUGCGAGCGUUAAUCGGAAUUACUGGGCGUAAAGCGUGCGCAGGCGGUUAUGUAAGACAGAUGUGAAAUCCCCGGGCUCAACCUGGGAACUGCAUUAGUGACUGCAUAGCUGGAGUACGGCAGAGGGGGAUGGAAUUCCGCGUGUGGCAGUGAAAUGCGUAGAUAUGCGGAGGAACACCGAUGGCGAAGGCAAUCCCCUGGGCCUGUACUGACGCUCAUGCACGAAAGCGUGGGGAGCAAACA